CCACCAGCGAUCACCUCGCUAGUUGUCUACUCUUCUUCGUGUCUGUGAUUCUACCGUCCUUCAUGAUGCUCCGUCGUGUUGCCGCCAAGACGACGAUGGCGGCGGCUGCGCCUCUGCUGUCCAGCACUCGCGCCUACAACAUGUUCGUCUUCAAGGACCCCGUUCGUCGCCCACAGCUGUCGCCGGAGGAGCGCGCCAAGGUGAAGAUCAACUACGCUGAAUGGCCCGAGGAGUUCCGUGACUACGACCCGGAGGAUCCGUACAAGAACUCACCGGAGAUCAUUGAGGGGCUCAGUAGCUGGAACCUCUUUCUGUGGGGUGUCGAAUGUGCCUUCAUCUACCAGUUCUACGAGGUGGUCUUCCCCAAGAGCAUCUAAGCGGUGCGCUGCAGCCAGCAGCCAAACGAAGAAAGAGAGAGGACGACGGAUAGCGCGCGGGUACGGAGGAUGAGCUCGAACGCCUUGCCUCUUACGACCAUUGUCGGUGUGGGCCUUGCGUCUCUUUGUGCACCCCGCGGUGCCGUCGCGCUAGGCCCUGCCCGCUCAGCCUUAUCCCCCUCCAACCUUUUUUUUUUUCGUUGUCGUCACCUUCUCUUCCCCAAAGUUUUUUAGGAAAGCAACUCCGUGGUCGACGCAGCGAUGCCGCCGUUGAAGCAUGCCAGGGAGCAGCAACACAUGUGGUGUUGUUUCACUGAGCGCGCCUUCUUGCUUGGGUGCUCUGCACACGCUUGCGCACGCCGGUGUUUCACAUGAGCCACGCAGUCUCCUCCCCGUAGGCGUCGAUGGGGAGAGGGGCGCGGGAGCGUGAACAUCGCUGCCCGGCAGCGCUCGUCGCAUCCCUUCGCCAAGGAACGCGCAGACCGCGCGCCCUCCUCUGUCUGCCUGUCUGUCUGAGUGUGUGUGCGCGGGUGCGUAUGUAGUAGCAACUGAUAUGAUUAAGGCAAAAACAUCGAUAAUACGAUAGUUGCCCGCAGGGGAAAGGCCAGGGGAUGGAAAGACUCGUGACGAGUCGUCGUCUCCCCGGCAGACACUGAGUGCCCACUCUCGUGCGCAGGCAUUACCGCACAGGCAUGUGCGCGUGUGUUCCGCGGCGAUCUGUGCAGAGCGAGCGCGACACGCCAUGCGUACGAUGGCAUUCAGAGUGGCUCCCUCGCGCCUUGCGGCUUUUCUCGCACACGGCAGCAACUGCCUGGGCCGCUUCUCCGUGCACGUGUGUGAUGGACUCUGUGCUGACGGCAACUGCCGUGCUUGAACCGUGCUGUGUACGCAGCUUCGACCGAUGCUAAAGCCCUCUUCCCACCUGUACGUCUCCGCCUUUCAUGGAACUCCUCUGUCUCUCGCUGCGUGCGCUCCGUCUCUCGAGGAAUAUGUUGCGCGGCUUGCGCUGGUGCACGCCUCCUCACCUGCCCAG
rnacentral:misc_RNA from 1 species